CGAAAGCCUGACGGAGCAAGACCGCGUGAGGGAGGAAGGCUCUUGGGUUGUAAACCUCUUUUCUCAGGGAAGAAGCUCUGACGGUACCUGAGGAAUCAGCCUCGGCUAACUCCGUGCCAGCAGCCGCGGUAAUACGGAGGAGGCAAGCGUUAUCCGGAAUUAUUGGGCGUAAAGCGUCCGCAGGUGGCGAUUCAAGUCUGCUGUCAAAGCACGGGGCUUAACUCCGUUAAGGCAGUGGAAACUGCGAGACUAGAGUGCGGUAGGGGUAGAGGGAAUUCCCGGUGUAGCGGUGAAAUGCGUAGAGAUCGGGAAGAACAUCGGUGGCGAAAGCGCUCUACUGGGUCGCACCUGACCCUCAGGGACGAAAGCUAAGGUAGCG
rnacentral:rRNA from 1 species